rnacentral:rRNA from 1 species
UACAGAGGCCUCGAGCGUUAGGCGGAAUCACUGGGCUUAAAGCGUGUGUAGGCGGACUUCUAAGUACCUUGUGAAAUCCCACGGCUCACCCGUGGAACUGCUUGGUAUACUGGUUGUCUUGAGCCUUCUAGGGGCGAGUGGAACAAAUGGUGGAGCGGUGAAAUGCGUAGAUAUCGUUUGGAACGCCAAUGGUGAAAACAGACUGCUGGGGUUGUGCUGACGCUGAGACACGAAAGCCAGGGGAGCGAACGGG